rnacentral:ncRNA from 1 species
CGAUUAAAAAAUUUCCGAGUUAUAUUUUCUAAAGUGAAAGCCAUGAAAAUAUAACCAAUGGGUAUCAGGAGAAAUUCUUAUGCCUCCCGUGAUUGGAAAGGAAAAGGAUUCGACAACAA